UACGUAGGGCGCAAGCGUUGUCCGGAAUUAUUGGGCGUAAAGAGCUCGUAGGCGGUCUGUCGCGUCUGCUGUGGAAAACUCAGGCUUAACCCUGAGCUUGCAGUGGGUACGGGCAGACUAGAGUGCGGUAGGGGAGACUGGAAUUCCGUGGUGUAGCGGUGAAAUGCGCAGAUAGUCAGGAGGAACACCGGUGGCGAAGGCGGGUCUCUGGGCCGGUAACUGACGCUGGAGGAGCGAAAGCAUGGGGAGCGAACAGG
rnacentral:rRNA from 1 species